AACGAACGCUGGCGGCAUGCCUAACACAUGCAAGUCGAACGAGACCUUCGGGUCUAGUGGCGCACGGGUGCGUAACGCGUGGGAACCUGCCCUUAGGUUCGGAAUAACUCCCCGAAAGGGGUGCUAAUACCGGAUAAUGUCUUCGGACCAAAGAUUUAUCGCCUUUGGAUGGGCCCGCGUUGGAUUAGCUGGUGGGUAGGGUAAAAGCCUACCAAGGCGCCGGUCCAUAGCUGGUCGGGGAGGAUGAUCGGCCACACUGGGACCGAGACACGGCCCAGACUGCGACGGGAGGCAGCGGUGGGGAAUAUUGGACAGGGGGCGAAAGCCUGAGCCAGCAAUGCCGCGUGAGUGAUGAAGGCCUUAGGGUUGUAAAGCUCUUUUACCCGGGAUGAUAAUGACAGUACCGGGAGAAUAAGCGCCGGCUAACUCCGUG
rnacentral:rRNA from 1 species